AACUCUGGUAUUGAUUGGUGCUUGCAUCAUGAUUUACAUUUGAGUGAGUGGCGAACUGGUGAGUAACACGUGGGAAACCUGCCCAGAAGCGGGGGAUAACACCUGGAAACAGAUGCUAAUACCGCAUAACAACUUGGACCGCAUGGUCCGAGCUUGAAAGAUGGCUUCGGCUAUCACUUUUGGAUGGUCCCGCGGCGUAUUAGCUAGAUGGUGGGGUAACGGCUCACCAUGGCAAUGAUACGUAGCCGACCUGAGAGGGUAAUCGGCCACAUUGGGACUGAGACACGGCCCAAACUCCUACGGGAGGCAGCAGUAGGGAAUCUUCCACAAUGGACGAAAGUCUGAUGGAGCAACGCCGCGUGAGUGAAGAAGGGUUUCGGCUCGUAAAACUCUGUUGUUAAAGAAGAACAUAUCUGAGAGUAACUGUUCAGGUAUUGACGGUAUUUAACCAGAAAGCCACGGCUAACUACGUGCCAGCAGCCGCGGUAAUACGUAGGUGGCAAGCGUUGUCCGGAUUUAUUGGGCGUAAAGCGAGCGCAGGCGGUUUUUUAAGUCUGAUGUGAAAGCCUUCGGCUCAACCGAAGAAGUGCAUCGGAAACUGGGAAACUUGAGUGCAGAAGAGGACAGUGGAACUCCAUGUGUAGCGGUGAAAUGCGUAGAUAUAUGGAAGAACACCAGUGGCGAAGGCGGCUGUCUGGUCUGUAACUGACGCUGAGGCUCGAAAGUAUGGGUAGCAAACAGGAUUAGAUACCCUGGUAGUCCAUACCGUAAACGAUGAAUGCUAAGUGUUGGAGGGUUUCCGCCCUUCAGUGCUGCAGCUAACGCAUUAAGCAUUCCGCCUGGGGAGUACGGCCGCAAGGCUGAAACUCAAAGGAAUUGACGGGGGCCCGCACAAGCGGUGGAGCAUGUGGUUUAAUUCGAAGCUACGCGAAGAACCUUACCAGGUCUUGACAUACUAUGCAAAUCUAAGAGAUUAGACGUUCCCUUCGGGGACAUGGAUACAGGUGGUGCAUGGUUGUCGUCAGCUCGUGUCGUGAGAUGUUGGGUUAAGUCCCGCAACGAGCGCAACCCUUAUUAUCAGUUGCCAGCAUUAAGUUGGGCACUCUGGUGAGACUGCCGGUGACAAACCGGAGGAAGGUGGGGAUGACGUCAAAUCAUCAUGCCCCUUAUGACCUGGGCUACACACGUGCUACAAUGGAUGGUACAACGAGUUGCGAACUCGCGAGAGUAAGCUAAUCUCUUAAAGCCAUUCUCAGUUCGGAUUGUAGGCUGCAACUCGCCUACAUGAAGUCGGAAUCGCUAGUAAUCGCGGAUCAGCAUGCCGCGGUGAAUACGUUCCCGGGCCUUGUACACACCGCCCGUCACACCAUGAGAGUUUGUAACACC
rnacentral:rRNA from 2 species